AAAACCGGCAUAAAAGUUUGAAACUUUUUUUUUCGAAAAAAAUCGACGGUUUUU
rnacentral:tRNA from 2 species